AAAAAAAAGAAAAAGACUAAACAGUCCAGUCCACUCAAAACCCCACGCUGGGAAAGGGGCUGCAAGACUUGGGGGUUAACUGGAUUUGAAAGGCUGGAGUGAUCACUUAAUUGAACUUUAUUUGUUGUUUAAAUUAUUUAGAAUAGGUUUGCUGCCAGGAUACUCUGGGUAAGCAGCCCAAGUUAAGAAAAUAAAUACGUAAUUAAGUGGAACAGAGCAAUGACAAAGUGUGUGAGCCGCCAUCGGCAUGUAUGUCUGUCUCAUUAUUAGGCAAUCAUUUGUCUCCAGAUGUUUCCCACAUCAGUACUCUCUGGUACUGCUAGACUGAAGCCAGGUGGGAAUGGUUGGUCUUUGGGCUUUUUCCUCUAACAGAGGAAAUCAGGCCCAGGUAGGCUCAGAGCCAAGGAACCAAGAUUAGAACUCAGACCAUGGUGGUGAUAGAAUCUACAGUAUAGACUAAAGGAUAAACACCUGGCUGGUACCAGCUGAUGCCUGAUAGCUAAACCAGACCGCCAAGACAAAAGAGCGGUGUUCCAUGGCCCUUGAGAAAAAAGAUUUAAAAACUGGGAGUUCCAUUCACAGCAUCCUAGAAGAUUCAGUGCAGAAGCUGCCUUAGAAAGCCUCUGGUUCAGAGGUUCUCAACCUUUUCCUAGCCAGGCAAAAUUUUGUUUAAAGAAAUCAUAUGAAAAAGCAGCAACAGGGCAGUUGAAGGUCUAGCUGCUUUAAGAUUAAGAAAGGAACUUGGCCAUGAGACUUUAGCUCUCUCUUUUCUUGUUCUUGAGUAGAUUCCAUGGAACCUCCGGAGCUCCAGGCUCCACAGUCUGGGAAACACCAGAUAGUGGAGACGGUCUUGGAAAAUGAGCCCAGGGCUUGAAUCACUUUUCUCAUUUACCAAAUGGUAAUAAUAAAAUUGCCAUCUUCAUAGGCACAUUUCAUAAGCACAUCACAGAUGAGUUAAUCCACAGGAAGGGAUUAGCAUUGUCUAGCACAGAGUAAACAUUUGAUAAAUGUCAACUAAAAUCAUCAUGUAUUAGAUUAAUUAUCACUACAUCUAUUACUAGCUUUGGGACCUUAGACAAUUUACUUAAAAUCUCUGAGCCUCAUUCAUUCUCCCUGUGGCCUGGGAUAAUAAUACUUACUUUGCCUUGUUCUAAAGAAAUUUUAAACAAAGAAGGUUUGUAAAUCACUUAUCAUAGCACCCAGCAGUUUUCCCCUUUGCCAUGGGAACUUGAGCUAAAGCUGAUAUUCCUUCUAGGCAUCCUUAGAACAGAAUAGGUGACAACUCUUAAAUUUUAAAAUUUAAGUCUUGGGGUAAUUUAUUCAUUCAGUAACAUUGUAAAAACAAUAGCUCUAAAUCCCGAUGCUGGACCCUCAGUGAACAUCUCUUUUUCUGUGAUGGGCCCAGCUUGGCCCUGUUUGAGGGUCUUACUUCUAUGUGCUUCUUAGGCAGGGAAGGUCCCAGCAGCUCUGCCUUGCUGGCUUUCAGCCCCAGAAUCGAAUACAGGUGGGAGUAGAGGAGAAUUGCUGGAGAGCUGGGAUCAUGAGAUUGGGGUCACUUGAGCCAGGAACUUCAUCUCUCUGGUCCUCACUUACCUUAGCUUGAGGCACAGUUUAAAAAAAAAAAAAAAAA
ensembl:lncRNA